rnacentral:snRNA from 1 species
GGCUAGGCUGGUGUCGCCUUUCUGCCUCACCGCUCCAUGUGCGUCCCUCCCGAAGCUACACGCUCAGUGGAAGAGGACGAUGUCUCAGGUAUAGAAGGAGUGUACCGAGGGCUUAAGGGA